GGUCUUAUAGUCUGCUUGGUUAGGACGUCGGAUUCUGAUUGCCUCCAGAUCUGUCCGUAGGCCCAGGUUCGAAUCCUCGUAGGACCU